CCUUACCAACCCUCGGGGGGCUUGUGGGGGCACAUCGGGAGAUAUUCUUUUGUUUUCGCUGGCCCAGUGACAGUUGCUUCAUUGCUGUCGUCAGCUCGUGUCGUGAGAUGUUCGGUUAAGUCCGGCAACGAGCGCAACCCACAUCCUUAGUUCCCAACAGUUCGCCGGGGCGCUCUAGAGAGAAGGCCCGUGAUAAGCGGGAGGAAGGUGUGGAUGACGUCAAGUCCUCAUGGCCCUUACGGGUUGGGCUACACACCUGCUACAAUGGCGAGACAGUGGGUAAAUCCCCAAAACCCAUCUCAGUUCGGAUUGCGGUCUGCAACUCGCCCCAUGAAGUGGGAAUCGCUAGAAUCGCGACACAGCAUGGCUC
rnacentral:rRNA from 1 species